rnacentral:rRNA from 1 species
AGCGUAGACGGAUGGACAAGUCUGAUGUGAAAGGCUGGGGCUCAACCCCCGGGACUGCAUUGGAAACUGCCCGUCUUGAGUGCCGGAGAGGUAAGCGGAAUUCCUAGUGUAGCGGUGAAAUGCGUAGAUAUUAGGAGGAACACCAGUGGCGAAGGCGGCUUACUGGACGGUAACUGACGUUGAGGCUCGAAAGCGUGGGGAGCAAACA